UAGGGAAUCUUCCACAAUGGACGCAAGUCUGAUGGAGCAACGCCGCGUGAGUGAAGAAGGUCUUCGGAUCGUAAAACUCUGUUGUUAGAGAAGAACACGAGUGAGAGUAACUGUUCAUUCGAUGACGGUAUCUAACCAGCAAGUCACGGCUAACUACGUGCCAGCAGCCGCGGUAAUACGUAGGUGGCAAGCGUUGUCCGGAUUUAUUGGGCGUAAAGGGAACGCAGGCGGUCUUUUAAGUCUGAUGUGAAAGCCUUCGGCUUAACCGGAGUAGUGCAUUGGAAACUGGAAGACUUGAGUGCAGAAGAGGAGAGUGGAACUCCAUGUGUAGCGGUGAAAUGCGUAGAUAUAUGGAAGAACACCAGUGGCGGAAGCGGCUCUCUGGUCUGUAACUGACGCUGAGGUUCGAAAGCGUGGGUAGCAAACAGGAUUAGAUACCCUGGUAGUCCACGCCGUAAACGAUGAAUGCUAGGUGUUGGAGGGUUUCCGCCCUUCAGUGCCGCAGCUAACGCAAUAAGCAUUUCGCCUGGGGAGUACGGCCGCAAGGUUG
rnacentral:rRNA from 1 species